rnacentral:lncRNA from 1 species
ACAACUUCUUGAUGGCACUUCCUGUACAAUACUUCUGUAAUUUCUUUGUCAGGAUAUCACAUUAUUGCACACCUGAGCUCAGAGUUGAGAUAUCUUUCUGCAUAAGCCCACGCCUAUUAAAAUGCACUAAGGAAUCUUUAGUUAGAACAUCCCAUUUAGCUGAAAGAGACACAGAAAAGAAACAGUAGUAAAGUUUACAUUUUUGGGGAGAGCAGCUAGACAGAUUUUGAUGACAAUGUCAUAAGCUUUAUUUUUCUGAAUAUACUUCCAGUAGGAUGGCAAUGUUAUUUAUCCAUUUCAAAAGGAUCUCUCUUUUUCAACCUAAGAUAUAUCUUAAAAAGAUACAAAACUAAAAUAGAUUUUAUUUAGAUGUUAUUAAAAUGUUAUUAUUUAGUUACAUAUAACCUCACUGUCUGAAUUUGUAACUAUUGAAGAUGGAAGUCUUGCUUAAGGAAAUGAGCAAAAACUAAAUAAAGGAUUUGGGAUUCAGCUCUAGGAAAUAACCAUAAGUAUCCGCAUGUUUUUAGAGACCUGAAUCACAGUGUUAGGAAACCAUGAAAGUUGUGGGGGCCUGGAUAUAGUAUUAUUCCAGUGAUAUGUCUUUUUUCUGCUUUUUGAAAAUGAGUUUUCCACUAAGAUUAUGACUGCCAGAUUUCCUGCACCAUUUUUUACCCUCAAAUAUCUUAGAGGCUCCCAUCAUCUUAACACAAAGUCUGAAAAGAAUGACGUGGCGCCCGGACCACCUAUGUGCCUGUUACUGUGACACUUCAGACCACUGUGCUGAUUUAGUUACAAGGUAAUUUCAAGGAUCUGAAAAUGCCUGAGUUCUGCAUUGUAUCCGAACCAGAGAACAAUACAAAUGAUUCCUGGUAUUUCCUAGAAAUGGCUGAUUUUUGGAGAAAUUAUUUUCUUGUUCAGCUAACAACAAAGAAACAAAGAUUCUUGGAGCACUGCUCAACAGAAUGGAUGCUAAAGAACCAGAAUGAAAAUAAGGAAGAAGGAAAAUAAGGAUAUAAGGAAUAAGGAAAAAAUAAGUGUGUUCUACUCGCUGCAACAACAACCUAUUUCCUGUGAGUGGAAUUCUGAAAAUGCUUCAGUACUAUAUAAGAACAUUGAGAAUAAUUAUAAAAGGUGCUGUCUUCUUAAUUGUAGUGGUUAC